AAACUCCAAUUUCCCUCUGAAAUGCAAAGCCUGAGCAGGUGACCGCAGCCCUCUUCCCCUCACUCAGGGAAGUCCACGGCUAUAGGUUUUACAAUCCAGGGACCGAGGGCCUGCCCAGCCAUACAGCUCCAAGAAUAAACGGCCGGGGAACUAUUUUCAUUCUUUAAGAGAGUCGAAAAGGCAAUCGGACCCUCUCUCUAACAAAGCAAAGGCGGUAGGAAGAGGGUUAAUGCAUCUUCCCAGCCCCAGAGUCUUAAAAUCUGGCCAGACCUGGGGAGCUCGGUUCUUGCAGAUCUGCUUGAGAAGGUCUCGAACUCCAUAUGGCAACAAUUUUAACUCCCCCGGAUCCCCGGGUGGCGCACGGAGCCGGCGGGCAGGCGCACCGGUGACCCCGCGGCCAGCGCGCGGCUGCCACCCGAGUCCGCCUCGCGUUCUCUACUUUCUCCCGGACUCAGUCGGGCGCCGCUUCUUUGCCAGACCGCGCGGGAAGGACAGCAACAACCUGGCCGCUGCCAGGAGGUGAACAGAUGGAUGUGGACACCGCUGCGGAGCGUGGACCUGCGCGGGAUGUGAUUUCGGGGUCUUAAGAAAAGCUCCUUCCCUUCCUCCCACACGACACACUGUGCCGUGAUACCCAUAUGUCAAACAGCGCUGCCUCCAGAGACUGAAAAAAAUGGGUGUUUCCUGAAGCUUAGGAAUUGCAUCGUGUCACCUUUUAACUUCCGGAAGGAUUCGUUUAGCAUAAUAGCUACUUGUCACUCGUCAAAUGACAAAGCACUGAGAAAUGAGAACUAAAACAGUAUGAAAAGAUAUUACAGGUUCCUGUGGCACCUGCUCUGCACCUGCCCGGGAAUCAGCCGUAUCUCCGAGGAACCCUGGUUCCAUUUAGUGAGGAGCAGUGUUCAAGAUGAAGAUCUGGAUGCCAGCUUCCAAGGAUUUAACCCAAGGGAGAGAGUAAAGAAAAAAUUUUAUAACUAAUGGAGGAAAGUACUUGAGGAGAGAAGAGACUCUGGAUUAUCUUUAGACGACAGCUUCUUCUGCUGACCGUAAGCUACAUGUUAAGCUUUAAACUUUUCACCUUGAUCU